rnacentral:lncRNA from 1 species
GGCGGGGAUGACAGGGCUGUUACCCCAUCCACUCUCCCUUGGCUCUAACUUGUCUCUUUCCUCCAUCCUGCCAGGUUCUCCAGGAAACUCCCAGCAUGAAGCUUCUCACUGCUGUCCUGUUCCUGGCCGUGCUAGGCUCCAAGGCCUCUCCCCUCGGCAAGGAACCCAAGCCAAGGCUGGACCAGGUUGCAGACGCCAUCGAACGUAACUUGGAGCAACUUAUCAGAAUGACCACGGAGCUGAUCCAGAAAUCUGAACUGGGCCAGGAGAUCGAGGAGUGGAGACUUGAAAGGAAAAUGUAUAACUUCUUUGAAGACUUAGCCCGUAAGGUGCCCCCCAAGGCCAAGGAGCAGCUGAGGAACCUGAGCAGGCCGGUGGAAAAAAGUGUGACAAUGCUGUGGGAACUGGAGAGGAAGGUGCGGCCCUACAUGGACCAGCUGCAUGAUGCCCUGGUGUCCUACACCGAGGGGCCGCUGGAGAUGGUGGAGCACUACAGCAAGACCCUGCUUGGUAGCCAGGCGUACAGCAACGUCCCGUCUAGGGUGGAGCUGCAGGAGCAGCUGGGCUCCUAUGCCCAGGAGCUGGGGCUGCAGGAGUUCGAGCGCAGCCUGGCAGCCUACGCCAGGGACCUGCACCAGAAGCUCAGCCCCUAUGCUGAGGACUUGCAUGGCUGGCUGAACUCCCGCUGGGACGCCUUCAUGCAAUGUUUCAGUGAAGAGACCAGUGGGGGUGCCUCAUAGGCCCUGUCCAUACCUGGAGCCCAAGGCGAUCCCCCAGGAUUGAGGGGGGACAGCUCCGCCGUAAGGCACCCCGCAGCAGGUUCCCUGCCCCAUACAGCCGUCCAUGGCUCAAUAAACCAGCUGUUUAAUCAUGCAGUGAUGUGUGGUCCUGCUGCAUCUCUGGGGAAGGGGGCUUGGGGUGUCAAUCCCCCCACAGCGCAGGAGGUCACCAGGCCUGUAGAGGGGCAUGGCCCCAAUUACCCACUCCCCACAAACUGCUCAACCUCCCCCCCAAUGCUCCCCCUAAACCAUCCCCCCCUUAAACAUGCCCCACCCCUGUGCUCCCUUUAAACUGCCCCACCCCAGUGCAUCCCCCAGCUUACAUUCUAAACUGCUCUCGCUCCACCUCUUCCCCUACACUGCACCACCCUGGCCCAUAAGCGUGGGAACUAGGGAUGCAGGGCGUGAUGCAGCACCCCCAGGUUUUGCAUGGGGUCCCAGCCACCAGCCCCACACCUGGGGCUCUGCUCCCAGUCCCAGCUGUGGUCCCAGCCUCAGCCCCCCCACCCCUCCCGGAGCCACAGCCCAGUCCUGGCCCCAGCUCUGGGGAGAGGGGACACGGACAGAGAUAAGGGGGGGUGCAAAGUAAAAAAUUUGGGCUUUCAGCACCCCCACUGUAAAAAGCGUUCCAGGGCCACCAUGUCAAGUUCUGCACAGAGCUGUAGCAACAAGUCCCCACUUCCCGAGAAGCUCCCUCAAGUUCAGUAAAGCCCUAUCGCCGCCCCUUUUAAAGUGCCCCCCACCCUCCCGGUGAGAUGUUGCCGCUCAGAGGGGAAAUAAGGCCCGAUAGCCUCUGUGAACAUGUGAGCCCUUGCACUGCUCACUCCAGCGUUAAUGAGCUCCCCUUGAGAAGGCUGGUGGCGGGAAUUAGACACUCAGGCUGGCUGGGCCAAGGAGGAGGCAGGAAGCCCCGCGAGAGGGAUCAGCGCCAAUACCGGAUUGAUAAUGGCGCCGGGCCCAUGGUCGAAAGGGGCCCCGGCGCGCUCUCCUGUGGGGUCAGAGCUUGAUACUGCGGCUCCG